CAGACACCCUGGCUGGCAAGGUGACAUCCUUCCUGACAUGACAUCCUCCUGCAUCCCUGGAGUCUGUACCCCCAAAAGACACAAAACAUAUUUGCAGCAGAGCGGGGCACAUCCAAUUACUGUACUUGUUCCAUGAAUCCUUUUUAAUUCUCAGGAGUCUGUGGCCUUUCUCAAGCCAGAGGAGAAAUGUCACAAUCCUGAACAAUGGGGCAAAAGCAGAGACCGUAACGUAUGAGAAGGCUGCCUGGGCAGGCACAAGAAAUGUAACCUCCUGACUUUUUGCCUCGCAGGAGACUCAAUCAGAAGGAUCUCAGAACUCUCAAGAAAAGAGAACAAAUGUUACUAACAGGAAGACAAUGACUACUCCACAUGAAAAACAUCACCUACCAUCACCUGCCAGGUGCACUUCUGUCUACAUCACCCAAAGGAGCCACUUGGAAAUGAAUGCCAAACACUAAUAACAUUUUGUGUUAUUUACUCUGCUCAUAUUAACACACAGCACACAGUGAUGGUCUGGACUCGUACAGAGGCACAAGAUCAUACCUAACAGAAUCAUGGAAUAUCCUGAAUUGGAAGGGACUCAAAAGGAUUAUCGAGUCCAACUCCUGGCCUGGAACAGGAAAGAUCUAUAGCCACCAAGAAUCUACAAUUAAAAGUACACUUUUCAAGGAAAAAAUGGAGUUGAAGGGUGGUAGAAGCUCUUCAGUUUACUUCAGCUUUGAGCUGGAUAAAGCAAACUUUACUUCCCUCCUGAUGUGUUUUGUAAUGAUGCUUGAACAGUGACGAGGACUAUUUAAUCCUGCUCCAGCAGCCAGUGUGCUGAACUGGCACAGGAAAUGCACAUCAGUGGCCAAAGGGAGGAUCAGAUCACAGCCCCUCAGGAAUCAACAAAGUGGAGA